CUUACCGAGUUCAGCUGCCUGGUUCAUCCCCAUCUUCAUCACCCUGAUGUGAGGGUCUUAGAUCGCCGGCUGUGAGAUUUUGAUGGAC